GGCUCAUCGCUAACAUGCUUAUCAGGCUCCUUUAUCUGUCGCUUCUUUUACACUCAGGUCUCACGUUUGUACUUCUUCAGUCUGGAGAUCAAAUAUGUCACCCAAGAGUCACAGUGACGUUGGAUUGCAACAUGAGUCAAGGUUUCAGCAUGGGCAGCUACACCAUGUUCUGGUACCGACAAAUCACUGAGCUGUUCCUGAACGACAGCAGCACCUACUACUGUGCUGCCAGUCACAACUACGAACCUGCUUACUUUGGCAGUGGCACCAAACUGACUGUGCUGGAAAAAGACAAAGAGAUUACUGAACCAACAGUGGAAGUGCUUCGACCUUCGCCAACGGAGUGCAGAAACGAACAAAGGAAUAAGACCUUGGUUUGUGUGGCCACUGGAUUCUACCCAGACCAUGUCAGUAUAUCCUGGCAGAUCAGUGGGGUCGGUGUCACUAAAGGUGUGGCGACGGACGAGGCUGCCCAGUGGAUGCCGGGAAAGACGUUUUACCAAAUCACCAGCAGGUUGAAGGUUUCCGAGGAAGAUUGGUACAACCCAAAGAAUCAAUUCAAUUGUACUGUCAAUUUCUACAAUGGAAACGAUACGGUCCCCUACACAGAUUCAAUCCGUGGCGAAGCUUUGACAAAUACCAUGACAAGAGGGAAAUAUGUGAAGAUCACACAGGCUGCCAAACUCACAUACAGUGUUUUCAUUGUCAAGAGCUGCAUCUACGGGGCCUUUGUGGUGUUUCUGGUGUGGAAGCUUCAGGGUUCAAAGGGAAAGCAGAACUACUGAGAGCUGAGGCCAAAUCUAUUCUAGGAGAUCUAAGAGAAGAUGUUGGUUUCUGUAAAUAAAGGCUGAAAACUUUUCACAACUUUGUAUAUUGCAGUGCAUUUGCAUUUAUUACUCAAUUACAUAAUCAAAUUCUGCUAAAAUAGAUGAACAGUUCUAAACAUAUUAUUUUUUUAAUCUUAAAGCUGCUUUGGCAUCACAUUUAUACUAAGAAUAAUUCUGUGUUUGUGGUUGUGAAUUGCUUGUUUGCUUAAUUUUAAUCUAAAUAAAAGCAUUUUAGAGGAUGUCA